UUAAAUUACAUCAAGUUUUGUGUCUUUUAAAAAAAGACAAAAGAACUUUCCCAUCUAAUGGGGAAGACAACAAGCAAGUGAAUCUAAACUAACAAGAGUCUCCAAUAAAGAGGCAAGAAAAAAGUCAAGAGCACUGACAAUACCUGGGAUGUACAGGAUUAACCUGGUGCCUUCAAUGUCCGACCCAGUUCUAAGCACUUCACAGAGUCUGCUUCAGGCAUCUUCAUGGCCGUUGGAACAAAUAUAUUCAUCUGCCUGUUCCACUGAUGGAAUCCUUUGUGUAUUUAGAUUAUAUAUCUGCCAAGAUGGUUUUACCAGGGUAUGGCUAUUGUGGAUACUAUAUUGUGGAUACUUGGAACCACAGUCUUGGGCAGGGGAAGAUCUUGUGAACCAUGAAGAUCUUAGAGGAUUUUGGGCUACCCAUCUUCUCAUCAGUAUCCUGGAUCCCUGCUGUAUCCUUGGAACAGCUGAUGGCAGUGUCUGCACCUGGAACUCUACACUGUGCAAAAAGCUACACUGUGCUGAAGGAGAGCAUCUUAAUACCCCACAAAGAAGAGAAUAGGCUUCUGGAAACCAGGAGCUGGAAGCAAUUCCUUUCCCACAUAUGUUGUCCAAGCAUGAACCCACUUUCUCUUGGAUUUUAUGUACUGGUGGGUGUACUGAUGGGGAGAGACAGAUAGAGACAGAGACAGACACAGAGAAAUAGAGAGAGAGACAUAGAGAGAAAAUCAGAGACAGAGACAGAGAUACACAGAGAUGGGGGACAGAGAUAGAAAAAGAGCCAGACAGUCAGACAAUUUCUUACAUCCAUCCUUAAAUGGCAAGAAAGUGAAGCUAGUAAAGGUAGAGGGAAUCAUAUAAAUGACCCUUGGGAUUUUCAAAUAUCUUUCAGACUUAUGGUUGCUCAUUCAAAGAAUUCUGUUUUUCUUUUUUUUUUCUUUUAAUAAAACUUUUUCUCUCCAAUAA